rnacentral:rRNA from 1 species
CAGCAGCCGCGGUAAUACGUAGGUGGCAAGCGUUGUCCGGAAUUAUUGGGCGUAAAGGGCUCGCAGGCGGUUUCUUAAGUCUGAUGUGAAAGCCCCCGGCUCAACCGGGGAGGGUCAUUGGAAACUGGGAAACUUGAGUGCAGAAGAGGAGAGUGGAAUUCCACGUGUAGCGGUGAAAUGCGUAGAGAUGUGGAGGAACACCUGUGGCGAAGGCGACUCUCUGGUCUGUAACUGACGCUGAGGAGCGAAAGCGUGGGGAGCGAACAGGAUUAGAUACCCCCGUAGUCCAUGUCUCUUAUAA